rnacentral:lncRNA from 1 species
AGGGCGCGCAGGCGGCGCGGGUGCGCGGUGCGGCGCUGGUAUCCAGAGGACGCGGUCACCGCCUCUGGCAUUUGUCGUUCUGCGCUUCUCCGCAAGGACCCUCUGUUAGGCAGGCGCCCACCGUAAGCCUCCCGGGCCUUGUGAACCUGCAAACCCAAGUCUGAGAGACGAUCCGCCUUCAGCGCUUUCCAGCUUGGCAGAGAGGCUUUCCCGGCGGGGAUCUUUGGUUGGCGCUGGCGAUGCGCGGGGAAGAAAGGCGAGGAGCGGCGUCCAGGCUGGGUGAUGUCCCAGCACGAGUAGGCGGGAUGCGCUCGCUUGGUCCUCCGGGCGCCCGGUCCCUGCCCGCGUCGCGCGCCCACCCCUGGGGACGAGAAGGCGGCCGCCUGAGGACCCCCGCCCGCGACCUCCGCGAGUCUGGAGCGCAGAGGACAGGGUCUGGCUGCUCUUUGGCCUUGGAUGGAAAGUGGGGAAUUGGGUGGGGGGCUGCGGACCCCUUAACGUGGAUUACUUGGUGUGUAUCAGCUGGGCUCAGAAGACCCACGACCUCUUCUCCAUCCGUGGAUUGAUUUGUUCUGCUUAACAGCUGGGUCGCCAAGCUGGAGGUAUUUUUCCCUCUCCACCCUGGUCUUCUCCUGUAACGUGUGGCCGCCUUUUCCAGCACGGCCUCCUGCCUUCCUGGUGCACUUUUUGGAGAACGUGGUGGAAUCAGAGGUUUCUGGCUGACUCGGUGGGUGCUUUGAACCAGGAAAGGACAAGAAAGAGACCCAUGCAGGAGACCUCUCCAGGUACACAUAUUUCCUGCUACUGAAUGGCUUAGACUGGGAUUUGCAAGGAACUACGAAGUCCAAGACCUUUGCCUUUCUUUUAGAAGAAGGCACCAGCUGGUUCUCCAAUGUUGAAGGUCUUCUCCAGAGAUGAACUCUGAAAGCCACAUGUUGAGAUGGCCCCAUUACAGGAUGGAGAGCACCUGAACCCCCAAGUUAUGGACUAGAAGAAGACAGUUGCCCUGGAAAAUCAUCUGACCCACAUUGGACUUUAUGUGAGGGGGAAAUAAACCUUUAUUAUGUUAAGCUACACAAUAAUAAAUAACAACAAUAA